AUUGAACGCUGGCGGCAGGCCUAACACAUGCAAGUCGAGCGGAUGAAGGGAGCUUGCUCCUGGCUUCAGCGGCGGACGGGUGAGUAAUGCCUAGGAAUCUGCCUGGUAGUGGGGGAUAACGUCCGGUAACGGGCGCUAAUACCGCAUACGUCCUGAGGGAGAAAGUGGGGGAUCUUCGGACCUCACGCUAUCAGAUGAGCCUAGGUCGGAUUAGCUAGUUGGUGGGGUAAAGGCCUACCAAGGCGACGAUCCGUAACUGGUCUGAGAGGAUGAUCAGUCACACUGGAACUGAGACACGGUCCAGACUCCUACGGGAGGCAGCAGUGGGGAAUAUUGGACAAUGGGCGAAAGCCUGAUCCAGCCAUGCCGCGUGAGUGAAGAAGGUCUUCGGAUUGUAAAGCACUUUAAGUUGGGAGGAAGGGCAGUAAGUUAAUACCUUGCUGUUUUGACGUUACCAACAGAAUAAGCAACGGCUAACUUCGUG
rnacentral:rRNA from 1 species